rnacentral:lncRNA from 1 species
AUGUGCCCAGACUCACUCCGCGAAUCCGUGUCUCCAUGUCGCCUUUGUGUUCUGUCUCUGCAUCGGGCUGCUACAGAUCCCCAAGGGAGGAGGCUGGAAUCAGAAGAUGCGUCCAGAUCCAGAUUUGGCAGCCCGAGCCCACCUCUCCAACACAGCAGUGAGAUACAGCCAAAUCCCGACUGAAUAAGCAGCACCAGAAGUAAGUUACUAUAUACAACUGUUAGUGAGAUAGAUACGGUACAGUAAACACUGAGAACAUUUACAAAAAAAUAUUAAGACUUGUAUUAAGAUAAAAAUUGGAGUGUUUUUGCUUUGUUUACACUUUGACGAGUUUGCACUAGAACAGCCUCUUACUGUAGAAAGCGCAAGAACCAGGAAGGAAGUGGAGCUGAUCACCAAACCCUUGGGGACAGUGGUGGUUUGCUCUGGUGCUGCAGCACCUCUCGGGAUCCAGGUAUUGCUAUGCCAGGUACCAGCUCCGAGGCCAUGGCAGGGAACACGCGGGGCUCCUGCACUCACACACACACGCACACACACAGAGACAUGUACAGCUUAUAAAUAACAGAAACACAAACUGAAGGAACAGAACAGAGCCUGGGCCUGAACACCUGCCCUCAGACCUUUUUAGGGGAGGGUCAUGGCUAGGUCCAGUUGUUGACAGUUGCAGGAAAAGGAAACAGGGAAAAACAAGGGGGAGAAUCUCUAUGUAAUGAGACUUCAUCCUGAUUUAAAUUUCUUUUCGUACUGUCUCGAGAAACUAAGCAUCAACUCAGAAGGUGUUGGCACUGGAACUUUUAAGAAUUGAAUAACUGGCUGUGGAAGGAUUUAAGCAUUCCUGCUAUUUCAGCAGAACAAUGUGUUCAAUAAUUUGCAAGUUUGAGGGUAACCAGGAGUUUUUGACAGAUUUGGGUUGGGGGGGAACAGUGCCUUGGCUUGUGGUUGAGGAGAAGAUUAAGAUGUACUGUGCUUAGCUUCAGCACUAAACAAUUGGUUUGUGGGUGUUUCUUUUUCCAGCUCUUACGGAGAGCACUGACUGUAUCCCAAAAUUACUUCCAUGUAUGAAUGGAAACGUUGCUGGUGGGGCACCCGCCCCAUGCCCUGUUAGCGUUUCCAUUCCUCUAUGUCACUUCUGUCUUGAAAAACUCCAGUCUCUCGCAACACAAAUACUUAGAAUUCAAAACAA